ACAAGUGAGAAUGCCGGUAUGAGUAACGAAAAGAUCAGUGAGAAUCUGAUCCGCCGAAAGCCCAAGGUUUCCUGAGGAAGGCUCGUCCGCUCAGGGUAAGUCGGGACCUAAGGCGAGGCCGACAGGCGUAGUCGAAGGACAACAGUUUGAAAUUACUGUACCACCGUAAUCCGCUAUGAGCGAUGGGGUGACGCAGGAGGGUAGUGACGCGGACUGAUGGAUGUCCGUCCAAGCAGUGAGGCUGGUGUGUAGGCAAAUCCGCACACCGUAAGGCUGGGCUGUGAUGGGGAGCGAAAAUUACAGUAGCGAAGGUCAUGAUCUCACACUGCCAAGAAAAGCCUCUAGCCAGGAGAAGGUGCCCGUACCGCAAACCGACACAGGUAGGCGAGAAGAGAAUUCUAAGGCGCGCGGAAGAACUCUCGUUAAGGAACUCGGCAAAAUGACCCCGUAACUUCGGGAGAAGGGGUGCCUCGGUAGGGUGAAUAGCCCGAGGGGGCCGCAGUGAAAAGGCCCAAGCGACUGUUUAGCAAAAACACAGGUCUGUGCGAAGCCGCAAGGCGAAGUAUACGGGCUGACGCCUGCCCGGUGCUGGAAGGUUAAGGGGAGCGGUUAGGAGGCAACUCCGAAGCUGUGAACCGAAGCCCCAGUAAACGGCGGCCGUAACUAUAACGGUCCUAAGGUAGCGAAAUUCCUUGUCAGGUAAAUUCUGACCCGCACGAAUGGCGUAACGACUUGGGCGCUGUCUCAACGAGAGAUCCGGUGAAAUUUUAAUACCUGUGAAGAUGCAGGUUACCCGCGACAAGACGGAAAGACCCCAUGGAGCUUUACUGCAGCUUGAUAUUGAAUUUGGGUACGAUCUGUACAGGAUAGGUGGGAGCCGUAGAAGCCGGAGCGCAAGCUUCGGUGGAGGCGCCGUUGGGAUACCACCCUGAUCGUAUCUAGGUUCUAACCUGGUACCCUAAACGGGUACGGGGACCGUGUCAGGCGGGCAGUUUGACUGGGGCGGUCGCCUCCUAAAGAGUAACGGAGGCGUUCAAAGGUUCCCUCAGAAUGGUUGGAAAUCAUUCGAAGAGUGCAAAGGCAGAAGGGAGCUUGACUGCGAGACCUACAAGUCGAGCAGGGACGAAAGUCGGACUUAGUGAUCCGGUGGUACCGCAUGGAAGGGCCAUCGCUCAACGGAUAAAAGCUACCCUGGGGAUAACAGGCUUAUCUCCCCCAAGAGUCCACAUCGACGGGGAGGUUUGGCACCUCGAUGUCGGCUCAUCGCAUCCUGGGGCUGAAGUAGGUCCCAAGGGUUGGGCUGUUCGCCCAUUAAAGCGGUACGCGAGCUGGGUUCAGAACGUCGUGAGACAGUUCGGUCCCUAUCUGUCGUGGGCGUAGGAAAUUUGAGAGGAGCUGUCCUUAGUACGAGAGGACCGGGAUGGACGUACCGCUGGUGCACCAGUUGUUCCGCCAGGAGCAUGGCUGGGUAGCUACGUACGGACGGGAUAAGCGCUGAAAGCAUCUAAGCGUGAAGCCCCCCUCAAGAUGAGAUUUCCCAGCAUGUAAGACCCCUUGAAGACGACGAGGUAGAUAGGUUGGAGGUGGAAG
rnacentral:rRNA from 1 species